AAAGGAUUGAAACCGCACACUGGCCAUAGGUUAGGGACCACUUAUGCAGAAAUCCCAAAACCAGAUGCUUUAAGAAAUCUCUCUCUUGAUCGAAGAGUCGACGAUUCCACCGGUUUGCACAUAAUCGAUGGAGUACUAUUCUUCUUCACAGUUUCCCCUCUCCUAUUGGGACUAUUUCAUAUUUAUCUUCCUUAGACCCGUUCUUGCCGUCUGUUUUGCCCUCUCCUUACUCUUCAUCGGUUUGUUUCUCUCUCUGUGGCAUAUAUGCGCGUAAAUACGAAUUAGUUUGUAUUAUAUGUAUCUGUAGUUUCUUGAUUGAAAUUGCUAUUAAAUUUUCAUUUACGGAAUUAUCUUGAUACUCCUGGUUUGGGUUUCAUGUAUUAUAACUUCUUGAUAUGGGUUCCUGAACUGUCAUCAAAUCAGUGAUUUUUUUCAAUGUUUCUUAUCUGGAUUGUUGAAUUAUUUACUAGCGAAGUACUUUUAUUGUUAUUUCUUGCUCUGGGUAGUAUAAAUUAGGUCAAAUAUUUACACUGUUGAUGUUUCAUGAUCUAAAAGUAGGGCCUAUUUCUUGUACUUUUUUGGAUGCUUCUUGAUCUGUGUUGCUGAAUAUAUGUUUAAUUUGAUAAGUUUUCCCCUUCCCAUGUGUAGGUUGGUUUUUGGCCUGGAAGCUCGUGCUGGUGCACGUACCUCUGGUUCAAGAGAUUUUUGGUCUGCGGAAAAAAACUUUUAAGCCAAAGCCUGUGAAUCGAGGCCGCUUCACACGAUAUUACAACACUAAAAACGCCCAGAAUUCCUCUUAGUGGUGAAGUUUCAUUCUUUCCAAAUAUGUGAAUUUAUUUAUUUCUGUUGGGCUGAAAUUAUAUCAGAGAGUUAUUUAAUUUCUUUUGUUCCGCUGAGGUGAUAGUCGAUAUACAUUUAUUUUUGCUAUGUGAUACAUGCAACCCUAAAUAUACUAGAUGUAUUUAGAUAGUAUGUAACUCAGGGAGAUGAUAUUACGUAGCAUAUAUAAAAAUAAACACACCAGUUUCACUCCUUUGGUUAAUGUCUAUAGCUGAUGCUAUACAUUUGUUUAAAGUCAGUUGCUGGAUUUUUCCAAUUAGGAGACAGCAUUCUUUUACAUCUACAAUUAUAUGAUUGGUCCUAGUUCAUGAUCAAAACAUUUAAGUGUCAGAAGAUGUGUUCAAUGAAAACCUAUAAUGCGAUGGAGCAGUGUAACAGAUUCAGACCCCAAUCUAUAUUAGUGGAAUCAUGUAGAGGUGACGUGUAAUAAAGAACUAUUCUACUCUUAACAAAGACACCUGUAGAUUGGAAGUAACAAUCAAUUAUUUUUUGGGAAGUGUAAUUGCUCAUUUACAUGGAGGAGUUGUAGCAUAAUUCUUGCAAAAUCACUUUAAAGAUCGGCUUUUGUGUCUCACGAGGACAUUUCUCCUCAACGUAUCAAAGAAUUGAGAUGGUGCUUAAAUAUCUGAUUGGUAUGAAUGGGGGAAUGUAAUCAAUGUUUGUCGAGAAGCUUCGUAUCAUUGUGAAGGAUGCAGUAUGUGGGGAGGGGGAAGUAGAUUACCAGGUGAUGAAUGGUCACAUGAUAAUGGUGAUUUACAACAUGCUUGACUAAGCUCAUAAAGUUUUCUUAUAAGAGAAUAAGUUCUAAAUAAAUAUGUUGUUAUUGAUUAAAGUUGAGAAUAAGCUACUUAUUUCUAUAGUAAGUAGUUGCUUAUUUUUAAAACUUACCCAAAAAUGGACUUAGUUAUUUGGGAAGUUUUUUUUUUUUUUUUUUUAAUGACUGUGGGAGUUCGAGCCAGCUUACGCACACCUCAGCUAAUGCCACGGGGUUCUGAAAUUUACAAUCGAGUAUUUACCUCAGUGACCCUAAGGGGACUUGAACUGGUGACCAUUGGGGAGCAAGGCCAAGGCUUGGACAGUGUGUUGAAUGGUAAUAUGAAGAGAUUAGAUGAUGCAGAUAAUUAGGUUGGUAGCCCUGUAAUUUGAAUGAGAGGGAAUUGGGACCAGGUUGUGUUCAGAACCAACUCAAAUAGUUUGAGUUAAACAUGUCAGACCUAAUUCCCUCACCACUAUACAAGAAUGAUGUGAUAGAGAUCCUUAGAGAUAUUAUCGAAGACUUGCCAUAAACUAGAUAUUCACUUCGUGCUGGAAAAUAAGAAAUAAUUUAGGAAGUUUUUUUGAUUGAUUUUCGUUAUCUCUUUCCAUAGUUAUAAGUUUUGAAUUAUUAGUUUCAUUGUUUUCUUCUCCCCCCAAGAUUCUAUUCUUCUCCCCUCUUCCUUCCCCCUUCUUCUGUUACCAGAAGUAGUCUCUCUCUCUCUUUUUUUUUUUUAAUAAUAAAAAACCGCAUGACAUCAUCCUUCGCCCUUCUCACUUCUUUCCAGUCUUCUGCCCUAUAUUCAGAAGCUUUAUGUACCUUUCUGCAUCAUGAUGUUGAUUGUGUAGCUUAUGACCGUAGGAAUAACCAUUUUGCUACUUAAGGUCGUUGACAAAUAGUGCAUGUUUGGCUAAGCUUAAAAAAUACAUUGUAAGUAACUAAACUUGCUUUAAAUAAAAUGAUUUUUCUUGCUCAAUGUUGGAAAUAAGUUACUUAGUUUGACAAUAACACCCAACAGUACUAGCAAAAUAAGAAAACAACAUUUACCCNNNNNNNNNNNNNNNNNNNNNNNNNNNNNNNNNNNNNNNNNNNNNNNNNNNNNNNNNNNNNNNNNNNNNNNNNNNNNNNNNNNNNNNNNNNNNNNNNNNNNNNNNNNNNNNNNNNNNNNNNNNNNNNNNNNNNNNNNNNNNNNNNNNNNNNNNNNNNNNNNNNNNNNNNNNGUUUAAAAUACAGUCAAUUUUUUCAUCCAACCUUUUCUCCCACAUCAUUUUAUGUAAUCCUUUAUGUAAAAAUAGCAUAAUCCUAACAACAUAUACUAUAAAACUUUCAAGUUUUAGCCAAACAUGGUGGUGGUGUACAUUCAUUACAUGUUUCUUGUGAAAAUUUAAAUUCUCAUCUUAGAGCAUGAUCUAUUGAAUCAAAGAGUAUCGGAGCUUGUUUCAAUGUCUUGUAGUAUAUGAUGUUGCUGUUAUCUUUUGCAUCAUGCAGAAUUUUAGCGAGAAUGCUGCCAUUACAGAAAAUGGUUGCUAUGUUUGAAUCAAUAAAAGAACUAAUAAAGAUCUGUAAUGAGACUUUAUUCCAUUUUUAUCGAGGACUGAUUCUUGAUGAUGCAUCUCUAACAUGUAUGAAGUUAGAGUUCCCUUGAAUUGUCCUGAGGUCGUGAUUUACUUUUGUGGUGCAGAGGAUCAUAAUUAUAGAAGCUUUGGAGAAUCUCACGACUCACAGUCAAGACACUGGGCAAUAUGGUCGAAGAUUGCAAAUUUAGCAGGUUUACUGUACAUAAAGUAGUUGGUAAGUUCAAUUGUUCAACUCGUUCCGAGACAUUUAUCUGUAAAAUAAUUAUGCUGGUUAUAUAUUUCCCAAUCAUAUCCCAGUGUACUGAUUAAAAUCUUCGGUAUUCUUGUGAUUAUUUUUUCCUAAUUUUUCUGUAAUCAAUAAGAACAAAUGUUUGUAAACUGCUAAUAGUUUGAAUGAUAACUUGAUUUUCAUUCUGAUCUUCAACGAGUACUUUUGUUGGACGCUCCUUUUACCAGUCGAGGAAUGAAGUUCAAUAUCAUGGUGUGGCUUUGCUUGCUUUCUUUAUGUGGUUGGAUACG
rnacentral:lncRNA from 1 species